rnacentral:rRNA from 1 species
CUUGCGCAAUGGGGGAAACCCUGACGCAGCAACGCCGCGCGAGUGAGGAAGGUCUUCGGGUCGUAAAGCUCUGUCAGGCGGGAAGAAAUGCAUGGAGGUGAACAGCCGCCAUGCUUGACGGUACCGCCAGAGGAAGCACCGGCUAACUCCGUGCCAGCAGCCGCGGUAAUACGGGGGGUGCAAGCGUUGUUCGGAAUCAUUGGGCGUAAAGAGCGUGUAGGCGGCUUGGUAAGUCAGAUGUGAAAGCCCUGGGCUCAACCCGGGAAGUGCAUUUGAAACUGCCAGGCUCGAGUAGGGGAGAGGGGAGUGGAAUUCCUGGUGUAGAGGUGAAAUGCGUAGAUAUCAGGAGGAACACCGGUGGCGAAGGCGACUUCCUGGCCGUAUACUGACGCUGAGACGCGAGAGCGUGGGUAGCAAACAG